rnacentral:rRNA from 1 species
CGGAGGGAGCUAGCGUUAUUCGGAAUUACUGGGCGUAAAGCGCACGUAGGCGGCUUUGUAAGUAAGAGGUGAAAGCCCAGAGCUCAACUCUGGAAUUGCCUUUAGACUGCAUCGCUUGAAUCAUGGAGAGGUCAGUGGAAUUCCGAGUGUAGAGGUGAAAUUCGUAGAUAUUCGGAAGAACACCAGUGGCGAAGGCGGCUGACUGGACAUGUAUUGACGCUGAGGUGCGAAAGCGUGGGGAGCAAACAGGAUU